rnacentral:rRNA from 1 species
UAUUUAUUAGAUAACAGACCAAUAUUCCUCGUGUCUAUUGUGGUGACUCAUAGUAACUGAUCGGAUCGCAUGGCCUUGUGCCGCGACUAACCAUUCAAGUUUCUGACCCAUCAGCUUUCGAUGGUAGUGUAUUGGACUACCAUGGCUUUCACGGGUAACGGAGGAUUAGGGUUCGAUUCCGGAGAGGGAGCCUGAGAAACGGCUACCACAUCUAAGGAAGGCAGCAGGCGCGUAAAUUACCCAAUCCUGACUCAGGGAGGUAGUGACAAGAAAUAACGGGUCGGGGCAUUCGCCUCGGGAUUGCAAUGAAUCGAAUUUACACCCCUUAAUGAGGAUCAAUUGGAGGGCAAGUCUGGUGCCAGCAGCCGCGGUAAUUCCAGCUCCAAUAGCGUAUAUUAAAGUUGUUGCCGUUAAAAAGCUCGUAGUUGAACCUUGGACCUGGCUGAUCUGUCCUCCUAAUCGAGCGCACGGAUUCGGUCGGGUCUUUCCUUCUGGGGAGCCCUAUGCCCUUCACUGGGUGUAGUGGGGAACCAGGACUUUUACCUUGAAAAAAUUAGAGUGUUCAAAGCAGGCCUU